rnacentral:snRNA from 1 species
GGAUGUGAGGGCAAUCAGGCUAUGACAUCUGUCACCCCCUUGAUCACCAGGGUUGAUUCGGCUGAUCUGGCUGGCUAGCAGGGUGUCGCCUUCCUGCCCCACCACUCCAUGUGUGUCCCUCCUGAAGCUGUGUGUUUGGUGAAGAGGAUAACCUUCCCUGAUACAGGAGGAUUAUUCUUUGGUCAAGGGUAUACGAGGAGCUGUGUUCCUGCUAGAACCUCCAAACGUUCUCAAGAUUACAUAAAAACACUUUGAGGUAAAGAUACCAGGAAUUCAGGAAAUUUGGGAUACUUGGAAAGGUAAUC